ensembl:lncRNA
CUAGUGACAGUGACUAUUGUGCAGGGCAGAGUACUGUGCGGAAGCCUGCUAGUGAUAGUGACUAUUGUGCAUGGCAGAGUACUGUGCGGAAGCCAGCUAGUGAUAGUGACUAUGGUGCAGGGCAGAGUACUGUGCGGAAGCCAGCUAGUGAUAGUGACUAUGGUGCAGGGCAGAGUACUGUGCGGAAGCCGGCUAGUGAUAGUGACUAUGGUGCAGGGCAGAGUACUGUGCGGAAGCCGGCUAGUGACAGUGACUAUUGUGCAGGGCAGAGUACUGUGCGGAAGCAGGCUAGUGACAGUGAUUAGGGUAUCAGGUAGAGUAUCGGGUGGUGGCUGGCUAGUGACAGUGAUUAUGGUGUCAGGUAGAGUAUCGGGUGGUGGCCGGCUAGUGACAGUGAUUAGGGUGUCAGGUAGAGUAUCGGGUGGUGGCCGGCUAGUGACAGUGAUUAGGGUAUCAGGUAGAGUAUCGGGUGGUGGCUGGCUAGUGACAGUGAUUAUGGUGUCAGGUAGAGUAUCGGGUAGUGGCCGGCUAGUGACAUUGAUUAGGGUAUCAGGUAGAGUAUCGGGUGGUAGCCGGCUAGUGAUGGCUGUUCAACAGUCUGAUGGCCUGG